UACAGAGGUCCCGAGCGUUGUUCGGAAUUACUGGGCGUAAAGCGUGCGCAGGCGGCUUUCCAAGUCAGUGGUGAAAGCCCGGAGCUCAACUCCGGAAAUGCCAUUGAAACUGUGAAGCUUGAGAACGAGAGAGGUGAGUGGAAUUCCCAGUGUAGAGGUGAAAUUCGUAGAUAUUGGGAAGAACACCAGUGGCGAAGGCGGCUCACUGGCUCGUAACUGACGCUCAUGCACGACAGCGUGGGGAUCAAACAGG
rnacentral:rRNA from 1 species